rnacentral:rRNA from 1 species
GACAGAGGUGCCAAGCGUUAGGCGGAAUCACUGGGCUUAAAGCGUGUGUAGGUGGAUUUGUAAGUACCUUGUGAAAUCCCAUGGCUCAACCAUGGAACUGCUCGGUAUACUGCGAAUCUAGAGCCACUUAGGGGCUACCGGAACAAAUGGUGGAGCGGUGAAAUGCGUAGAUAUCAUUUGGAACGCCAAUGGUGAAAACAGGUAGCUGGGAGUGUGCUGACACUGAGACACGAAAGCCAGGGGAGCGAACGGG